UUGAUUUAAAAUUAACUUUCAAUUAAGAGAUCCAUAGGACUCUUAACUGCGACACUUAUCCAUUCAAGAGAAAAUAAAGGUACAUUUAUCGAUACACUUAAACAGCAGUGGCUGGUUUCCUAUUGAUUCAGUCAUUUGCGCUGGGAUUCGUUAGCGUCAUCUGACUUUAACUCGCUUACCAGGUCCUCACAGUGUGCCAUGCUGAAAGGUGCAGGAAUGUACAAAGCGAGACAGGGGAGCCAAGGAAUUAGGUGUAUGCAGAGGUAACAGUUCUAUUGGCUCGUAACAGCUCUGAAAGAUCACCUAUUUGUGUGCACUGAUUAACAUAUAAUCCAUAGGAAGCCUCAUAGCCCAGAACCGUCCAGUGAAAUGAAGCAGCCCCAAACUGACUCAUUUAUUACCUAUUCAUUUGCUGUGAUGAAAUCUCCAGGAGCAAAAAAACCACUGCAGUAUAGAAAUGUUUAAAUGUUAAGACCUAUUCUGAUCAACUGAGAUUAUUCCUUAAACUGAGAACCACAAACAGAAUGUAUAUAACUUGCAUAAAUCAUCACCAAGAUUCUGUUUUUAAAAAAAUUAUUUUGCAAAGAAACAAGAUCAAAUAUUUUGAAGCCUGGGUGUGUUUUACAUUAUGUCAAGCUGCUGUUUCCAUUAUUUUUUCUUUUCUCUGUCCACUAAAGGUUAAAUAAUACCUACCAAAGGCUCGUUUGCAGAGUUAUGAUAUGAUAUCUUUAGGAUCAUAAUAAACCAGAAAACUGGGUAUGGACUUUUGUUGCUGGGUGAGAGUCAAAAUCAGAAAGACCAGUGUAUUUGCAAAGCAAAUACCUCCUCCUAAUAGUUCUAAAUCACAUAAUGUUAGUGUAACAUAAUUUGGAAUAUAUUAUGACGGUUACAAUUACUAAAAAGUGCAUGAUGCCAUUAUUUCCAACUGGAAAUUAGAUGAUUAUACUAAUUAAGUGAUAGCAGGUGGCACAAUGACUGCUACAAUCUUCUCUGAUGUGCACAGAGAGAUGCAUGGUUCACUGUCUAAAACACUCAGGAAUAGUAACAAUUGGCUUAAGCAGUUUUCUGUCCCAAGAUGCAGAAUAAGGAAUCACUUUGAUUUAACACUUCCUUAUCACAUCAAAGAGGUGAAGGGACAUCUUUAUGGAUUGGCUUAGGAAGAAAAAAAUGCUACUAGUUCAGCUUCUACCCUUGCAUCUAACGUUUCUUGGUAUAACAGAAUUAAAGUAUGAAAUGAGUUCCAAGAGAAUCAUGUAAUUCUAAAAUGUCAGCAACCUUCCUUUAAAUUGCAACUGGCCUAAAUUCAUCAUUACUGCUUUUAAGUUCCUGAAUUUGGAAUUGCUAUAGAUGUGCUAUUGAGUCUCAUAAGUCAAGCAAACUGGAAAUGUUGUAGUAAAAUAAAUAUUUCUCUGUCAAUAAAAGCACUAAAUACUUUUAAGAAUAUAUGUGGUCGUUAAAUACAUUUGAGUUUUAACUCAAAUUUACUAAGCAGUAUUUGCACAUUAUUUUUAAAGCAGGAUUUGAAGAUUAUUCCCAAUUUCACUGAGUUAGACAAAUAAUCCUCCAGUCUCAUGAGUUAUUUCAAAGCUUGUUUUUCUUGUCCUCUCUGCUCUAUGUUCAGACUGAAGUAAGGCUAAGUCAUCACUGACAAUUACUUUUUCACAUAAGUCAUUGUUAGUUUUAAAACUAUGAGAUAUGUUUAAGAAGCUACUCUCUUUUAUUUGGACUUCCAUGUGCUUGUGGAGUGUGACCUCAGUUUAAGGAUGGCAGGGGGAGCACAUCUGAUGAAGAAAAACCAUGCUGUGCAAGAAUGCAACCGCCAUAUGCCUAAGAGGCAAAAGUGAUUCUUACAAAUGAUGAAAAAUAAAUGUUAUCUAAUUUCUGAAAACAUCUUAUCUAGCUUUAUCUGUCUCUGUAGCAUUCAUUUUAGUUUUGUUACUGUGUUUCUUACUACAGAUCAAAAGCAUGGCUGAUAACACUUAAGUUUAGAUGUAUUUGUAACAUGCUGUGAUAUCUUACAGCAUAGGUAGUUCAUUCAAACAAUUACUGCCUUCUCCCUCCAUAUCUUACAAGGCCUUACCUGUGCCACAAUUUCAAGCAACGUUUUUGCUAUCCGACUUUCUGCAGGUGAACACAAGAGAAAGAUGGAUCAGACAGUAGAAGGUGAACAACUAUUGUUUUCCCCAGGAUGUUGUGCAUUACAUUGUGGUGACAUUCUCAGGGAUGACAUGUGCAAAUUAAAGCUACCCUACUUUUCCUCUUCUGCUAAAACAGAGUUGUAUUGCUAUGAUAACCACAAGUACUGUGCAGAAUGUGUCUGUGGCAAGGACAAAAAAAGAAGGUUCUCCAACUUGGAAGCUUAAAUGAAACUUUCUCAUUAGAAUGAGAUUUGAAAGCUUGUGAAAAUCACACAUCUUCAUUUUCUAAUGUUUUAAUAGAACUUAAUGGAAGGAAACUAAACUUCUGAAUACAAAAAAAAAAAAAAAAAGCCUUAUCUCCUCCAUGAAUACCAAACUUCUCAGCAUUUAGAAUACUAUCAUAUAGAUGUUGUUCAGUGAAUUGAUAUCACAGCUGCAUCUUUUCCAGGACAAAAUUUGAGCAAAUUUCCUGCAAUGAACAUGACAAACCUUGCUCUCUGUGGCUAAAACAAAAAACUUUACUACUGCACCCCUGGAUAUUCUAUUACCUGUGCAAAUGGGAAUAAUGGUAGACAGUUACUCAGAGACAGCUACUGGAGAAAUUUGAACUUGUUGUUCAACUAAAAAUAACAUUACCAUACUAUAGGCAUGAGGCCAGGUCUCUUACCUUCAAAUGCCACUGAUUACUUCAGCCUUAGCUGAACAAAAAUCCUUAAUCUUCUCUUUUUAAUAUUGAAGAGGUAAACCCUCUUUCACCUGCAUGUGGAGUCUCCUUUUUAUCAAAGCUCAGGAGAUUCCAGCAACAAAAUCAAUGUAUGCAUGUUCAGAGCAGUUUUCAGGGGUUUGUAAGACAAAUCUUUCAAAUGGGAGCUAGUUUAAUGCUAUUGAGCUGAAUUUCGAUCUGACAGAGUGAGUGAACAACAUAGAAACAGUUCACUUACCACUGCUCACACUACAGGAGGUGGGAAUCAGGUACAGCUCUGUACAAAUACAGCUGCGCAAUUUCUCAGUAAACUCUUACCCUACCUAAUCCAAUGUUAAAUGCAACCAUACAGGGUUUAAACAGAGACUUAAGAAAGAAAUGCAAUUUAUUUCUCUACAGUAAUGAGUGACAAUUAUGGUUUUCUCAUACAAACUAGUGAAAAUUAAGACUAGCUCUGCUAAAUUUAAUAGUUGGGCUACUGCUAAGCUAAAUUUAACUGAAGCAUUUUCAGAUUCUGUGUCCUAACAGAAAACUGUAUCUGAACUAUGAUCUACAAAUGUCCUGUUAUGCAUUUCCAUCUGUUUUAAAACUUCCAACAACUUGCAUUCUGGAUUUUUUUGAAGAAAAAAGAACACUUAAAUAAAGCUCAAUUUCAUUGCCACACAUUUUAGGUUAAUAUGAGCUGUAGUACAGCUUUGCAAAGACAGAUUCUUUUGUUCCUGUGCUCUGAUUCUUUGAAUGCCAAUACUUCAAUCAGCUUAGAAUCAGAGACAAUUCAUUCCUCUUCUGAGAAAAUGGUAUUAUAGCCACAUGUCCAUAUCACCAUUACAUCAUGAAAGUCUCCAUGAUCAUACAUCUGAUUAGAAAAACGAUCACUAGUCAUUUCUGGAGCUAUUCAGUAUCUGGAAUAAUAUACUAUAUGCUUCCUCUGUGCUAUUCAGAUUUCUUCCUUUUAAUAAACAAACUAAUGAGACUUCUACAAUGCUUGAAUAUCCAAUCAGAGUGGCAAAGUGUAAACUGAAAUAAACAAAAAAAUCCCAAUUCUUUCAAUAUGUAUGUUACAGUGGCAACAUGCCACUUGACAAUUCUCAAUUUAUCAAUGGGACAAUAUUCUACUAGACAACCAGGGACUAAUGGGAACAAGUUUUGCACACAUCUAGUUCAAAUACACAGUUCCAGGCCCUCAAAAAUAUAAACAUCAGCUUCUCCUGCCAUUAUUCAGUUCAAAUCCACAGCUCUAAGUAAACAAGAAAUGUGAUUGUUGUGUUAACUCUGUGUUAGCCCUAAAUGUUUCUCCUUUCAUGUUGUGCAGGUGAGGUAAUGAAGUUCUCUUUAAAAGGGACAAAUUAGUACCAUUCCUUCUGAUGCUCUUAAUUUCAGUGGAUGUAUAUAGUACACUUUUGUAAUCCAUACAGAAAUACUAGAUGGCAUAAUGUAGCAAUGCAUGUUUCAUACACUGUAAAAUAUAAAAAAACCAGUAUAAAUUAUAAUAGUGAAAAAAAUUCAGGACCCAGGGUAGGUUACUCAUAUUAGCAAAAUUCCAGCAGACUAGCCAUCUUCCUUACAUUAAAAAUGUCUAUUAUCCGGUGUAAUUGAAUAACUCUCUGAUAAUUACAUCAGCAUUUUAAUACUAUAUAAAUAACCUCUCCCCUAAUUACCAUUUUGUUAAAUUUUUCAUAUAUUGCAGUGCCAUGAAAGGAGGUUCUUGGUAAAGUACUUUACCCUUUCAACAACAAUUAUUAAUUCAAUUAACAGGUCUUUUUUUAAAAACAAAAGCUCAGGGAGAAAGUGCAAGGAGGUUCACAGUUGAAAGGAGAGCUCUCUGUUAUGCUGUAAUCAUGGCUUCAUGGCUAUGGUAGUAUAAAAUUUGUUCAUGGCUUAUUUCUCUUUCAGUGCAGCCCUCAAUAGAAAUGACAUCUGCUUUUUGGUGCUGUGGAUAAAAUCCUAUGCAUAUGACUCAAAAUAUAAGUGAACCUAUCUGGUUUGGAAAUUAAAAGAGGUAUUUCCCCAUGCCAAUUUAUUUUUCACACGUGAAUUUGUGUAUUUAUUUUUAAAAGAACCCACAGAGAUAGCCAUUUCAUUGAAGUCUUGAAUUAGAGGGGAAAUACAUUGUCAAAAUUAGAAACUGAAUUUUCUCCCACCAAACAUUUAGACAGUCACACUUUCCUUUUCCCUGGUGUCGGGGAAGGAAAGUGAAAUGCCUGGCUCAGAAAAGCACUGUUGAACAGAAGAUGCAGUCCUCACUCAUCCAUAGCCUGAGUGAGAAGCCAAGCAUCUGAAAGGCUUUGAAUCAUGGGUGACCCUGUAGCAAAACAGAAUUGUGUUAACUGAAUGGCUGACAAACACAACUGUGGUUCACAUAGCAGUAAUAUUCAGAAGCUAUAAUAAGAUCUGCAACAUUAAUGUUUUCAGACUUUAUAAUCAGUGUCAUUUUUUGCUAAUUUCAGGCAUUUUAUUUAUCUCAUGACAGACAAUGCCCCAGUUAAACUUGUAUCUACUGUCAGAAUUUCAAAAUGUCAUAUCAAGUUUUACAGAAAACUCAUUCUUUUUAGAAGUAAUUAGUUAAGGCAUAGUUUGCAUGGCAAUUAAAAACCACUUGCUUGCAGAAGCUUGUAAGCAUUAUGUAAUUUUUUUAAACUACAAGUACACGUGCAUAUUCUUGCCUCCAGCUUAAAUACAGUGAAUGUUGCAGUUGGUUGCACAGGAAUUGUCUCAAAAACAUAAAAGCAAGCCAAACACGAUUGUAUUCCAACUAAAAUUGCUCUCUUUAUACCAUGUAUUGAAACUUGAUAACUGUUGGUUAUAAAAUUCCUUUGAUUUUCUGUAGGUAAUAAAAUACUUUGGCAAUUACUAUUGACAGUUCUGGAUAAUCUUGAAGGCUGCCUUGCCUGAAGAAGAUGAGUGUUACAAAUCACUCCACUGAAAGAGGGAAGAACAGCAGCAGGCAGCAGACAGGUUUCAAUUUCACAAUGCUGAUUAUCUCAUUCGUGAUUCUAUGCAUGCCUAAAUCUGAGGAUCCCUCAAGCAGCUAUAUGGACUUCUACUUUUAAAAUGCCUAUUACGCUUUCAUACUUUUUGCUGCUUCCUGAAGAGUGCCAUUUCGCCAAGCUUAAAUAGCAGAAAAUUGCACUGCUUUUCCUCUGCCCAUCUCCUCAAUCUCUAUUAACCUGCACAAGAACAAAGGAGUAUGAUAGUCCAGCUAUAGGUUGGGAAAUAGGUUUGAAGUUGUUUUUCAUUUACUGGUACCUAUCUUCCUGAUUCAUAAAUGUAUUUGAACAAUAACAUUAUUUUAAUACCUUAUCUAACGACUGAAAGCAUAGCCUUUAAUUACAGCUCUAUUUAUACUAAUAAAUAGGCUCUGUGUUCAGAAAUACAUGCAGCUAUUGUUUACACGGGCAUCAAAUGAUACCGUAGUGCUGUCAGCAUGUGUCAAGGAUUAAACAGAAAGGAAUAAAAAAGAAAAUAAUGAAAAAUGUUGUGGGUUUUUGUUAGGUUUUCUUUUCUUUCUUUCUU